rnacentral:rRNA from 1 species
GUGAGGAAUUUUCCGCAAUGGGCGAAAGCCUGACGGAGCAAUGCCGCGUGAAGGAUGAAGGCCUAUGGGUUGUAAACUUCUUUUCUCAGAAAAGAAUUAUGACGGUAUCUGAGGAAUAAGCAUCGGCUAACUCUGUGCCAGCAGCCGCGGUAAGACAGAGGAUGCACGCGUUAUCCGGAAUGAUUGGGCGUAAAGCGUCUGUAGGUUGUUUAAAAAGUAUUCUGUCAAAGAUUAGGGCUUAACCCUAGAUAGGCAGAAUAAACUUUUAAGCUAGAGUUUGGUAGAGGCAGAGGGAAUUCCCGGUGGAGCGGUGAAAUGCGUAGAUAUCGGGAGGAACACCAAAGGCGAAGGCACUCUGCUGGGCCAAUACUAACACUGAGAGACGAAAGCGAGGGGAGCAAAUGGGAUUAGAAACCCUGGUAGUCC